AAGACUAUGCUUUCAGGGAUCAUUUCUAUAGUUUCUGACUUGGAAGUUUGAUUUGAAAGUGUAACGUCUCUCUAACCACGAUGACGAGUUAAGAUGCUUUCUUCUGAGCGUGAAUCGGGUGGUGAGCGACGAGCGAGAUUGUCUGCUCUCUGUCAUUGAUGAACGUUCCUGCUGUGCUUUGCAGUCUGGAAGAAGAAAGCAUGUUCAGAGUGGU
ensembl:snoRNA U3 Small nucleolar RNA U3